rnacentral:rRNA from 1 species
AUGGAACCCAAAUGGGACAUCCAAGUUAGCUUGUGCAGUAGUCCACUUGGAGUUUUCCGUAAGGGGUGUUUGCACCUGCUCAUACAUGAUGAUGGGUUGGCAAUACUUGAUGCACAAGGGCUAAAAUGGAGAACCAUCCCCGUGCCGAAUUUCAUCGAUCCGAGUUCCUCUGGUUUCAUCGGAAAAUCUGCAGGACAACUGUUCUAUAUCGACUCUGAUGAUCGUCAUGUCUCGGCCCCAUUUUCAACUAUAUCCGUUUACGUUCUUAGUAGUGGGAUUUAUAACUGGGAUGUGUCUCAUUUGGAUGACGAAUGCACGCAUUGGAAGUUGUUGCACAAGCUUUCAAAUGUGAUUCCAAAGAAGAAGUUUUCUCUUGGCCGGGACCUCAAAGUCGUCGGAGUACAUCCACAUGCCAAUAUCAUCUUUAUGGCUGAUUUGAACAAUAAUGAACUGUUGGCAUAUGAUUUGGAUCAUCAUGAAACUACAGCUGUACACCACAUUGAGCGUUACUGCCUGGGGGCAUAUGAACAAUAUUUCCCAUAUGUGCCACUGCUGUCCAGCCUACCAUUGGAUGAAAGAAUACGUCUGACAACUCCCAGUUGA